rnacentral:rRNA from 1 species
UACGGAGGGUGCAAGCGUUAUCCGGAUUCACUGGGUUUAAAGGGUGCGUAGGCGGCUUGGUAAGUCCGUGGUGAAAUCCCCGAGCUUAACUUGGGAACUGCCGUGGAUACUAUCAGUCUUGAAUAUCGUGGAGGUAAGCGGAAUAUGUCAUGUAGCGGUGAAAUGCUUAGAUAUGACAUAGAACACCAAUUGCGAAGGCAGCUGGCUACACAAAUAUUGACGCUCAGGCACGAAAGCGUGGGGAGCAAACAGG